rnacentral:rRNA from 1 species
UACGUAGGGCGCAAGCGUUGUCCGGAAUUAUUGGGCGUAAAGAGCUCGUAGGUGGCUUGUCACGUCGGGUGUGAAAGCUUGGGGCUUAACUCCAGGUCUGCAUUCGAUACGGGCUGGCUAGAGGUAGGUAGGGGAGACUGGAAUUCCUGGUGUAGCGGUGAAAUGCGCAGAUAUCAGGAAGAACACCAAUGGCGAAAGCAGCUUUCUGGGACGGUACUGACGCUGAGACGCGAAAGCGUGGGGAGCGAACAGG